AGCAGCAGCCACGGGAAAACGAAGGGGGCUAGCGUUGUUCGGAAUUACUGGGCGUAAAGGGCGCGUAGGCGGCCAUUCAAGUUAGAUGUGAAAGCCCCGGGCUCAACCUAGGAAUUGCAUUUGAUACUGUCUGGCUUGAGUGCAGAAGAGGAGAGUGGAAUUCCACGUGUAGCGGUGAAAUGCGUAGAGAUGUGGAGGAACACCAGUGGCGAAGGCGACUCUCUGGUCUGUAACUGACGCUGAGGAGCGAAAGCGUGGGGAGCGAACAGGAUUAGAUACCCCCGUAGUCCCUGUCUCUUAUAC
rnacentral:rRNA from 1 species